UCUAGUAAUAAUGGCAAAGAGGUCACACCCGUUCCCAUACCGAACACGGAAGUUAAGCUCUUUAGCGCCGAUGGUAGUUGGGGGCUUCCCCCUGCGAGAGUAGGACGUUGCUAGAC
rfam:Lysinibacillus massiliensis 4400831 = CIP 108448 = CCTG 49529 contig129, whole genome shotgun sequence.